GAUGAACGCUAGCGGCAGGCCUAACACAUGCAAGUCGAGGGGUAGAACACUUCGGUGUUUGAGACCGGCGCACGGGUGCGUAACGCGUAUGCAAUCUACCUUAUACAGGGGAAUAGCCCAGAGAAAUUUGGAUUAAUGCCCCAUAGUGUUAUAGAAUCGCAUGGUUUUAUAACUAAAGUUCCAACGGUAUAAGAUGAGCAUGCGUCCCAUUAGUUAGUUGGUAAGGUAACGGCUUACCAAGACAAUGAUGGGUAGGGGUCCUGAGAGGGAGAUCCCCCACACUGGUACUGAGACACGGACCAGACUCCUACGGGAGGCAGCAGUGAGGAAUAUUGGUCAAUGGUCGGAAGACUGAACCAGCCAUGCCGCGUGCAGGAAGAAGCAUCUAUGGUGUGUAAACUGCUUUUGUAC
rnacentral:rRNA from 1 species